GAUGUGGCACUCGAUCCCAGGACCCUGGGAUCACGACCUGAGCCAAAGGCAGACGCUUAAUGACUGAGCUACCCAGGCUCCCCUGGGGUUAUUUUUAAGUGAAUAAAUAUUUUAAAUAGUUCUCAGUUUUACUUUCUAAUGAACACAUAUAAACAGCAGUUAAUUUUGAGUCUUCUAUAAUUUUCAAGAGUAUAAAGGGAUCCUAAGACUAAAAAGUUUGAGAACACUGGCCUCAGCCAAUUUCAUGUACCCACUCUAACCUAGGUUUCUUCCUGCAUGCCAGCAGUCAUCUGAUAAGAGUUAUCAGUUGUGUGGACACAACUUUCUCAUAUAUCUGGAAACAGGAGAAACCAGAUUCAGAAAUGCACCUGUCGUUAUAGCUAGCAGAUGAAUACAAAUAAAGCCAAGGGGAAGUUUUGAAAUGCAAACUUUUCCAUCUCAAUUGAAGAUUUUGUUCCAAGAGCUGAUACAUAGCUUGGUCUCUGUCCUACCAUUUGAUGUCAUUCUACUUAUAGUAAUCAAAUAAAAUAUACUUUCCCAGUAGAAUUCCCUUGUAAGUAAUAGUAUAGUAGACAGUUUUACUUGUGUUUUUCCUUUACCUAAUGUGAUAAUCAAUGCUCUCUCUUUGACUAGUUCUCAAUGUUCCUACUGCAGCCCCAGAAGUAACAACCAAAUUCUGACAAUUGUAUUCCUGGGAAAUAAUGCAACACAAAAACAGUCACUGGGUCAAAAUUUUACAGUUUGACUGUAAAGUCAAGCAUGCCUUUCCUAACUCUUGUAUGAACACAUGAUGUAUGUAUUGAUUUUUAGAUGUCUUAUAUUGAAAAUAUUAGCUGUUAUCUCCCAAACCCCUGCUUGUUUUGUUGGAUGACAUGACCACUCAUUGAGUAUGGUGUUGAAAGAUAAGUGCUCUGUUUCAUUUUUUGACAGAAUCAAUUGUUGUUUUAAAGCUUGAUUAUUAUUUUAAUAAAACUGAAACUUAAACAGUGCACCCUGUUACAUAAAAGGAAGUAGUUUACAUUCAUACAGGCAGCAAAUAUGCUUUACAAUAUCACAUUUUCCUCAAAAUGGCUAGGGUUUAGGGAAUCCAAUGUUAAAUGGACUUAUAAUCAUGCGUAUUUGCGCUUUUGUUUAUUUAUGGAAUUAUAUGCAUAUCAGUUAUCAGCUUAAUAAAAUUAUAACCUAAAAACUUGAAAUAUUUUGCAUAGCACUGUAUCAGUCAGGGUCCUAUUUGGAACAUAGAAACCACCUUAGAUAUUUCAAACAGAGGGAACUUCAUGCAAUGAAUUGGUUGCAAGUUUUGAAAAAAUGGAAGAGCCAAGGAAGGAAGAUGAGGAUUCUGUGAAAUCAGUAACUAGAAAGUCACUAAGCUCUCCUGAGGUCAAAGGAGCAGAGGGCUUUCUGGUGUUCUCAGGACCACUCACGUGUUCCUUAAGCUGCUGGUUGAACUGCUGCAAUAGUAAGCCAGGAGCUCAUAAGCUCACUGAGGCUGCAGGAUCCAGGAACUUAGGCCAUUAGGACUUACCUACCCCUGCCACUACCAGAGCCAGGACCAAGACAAGAAUCACUUCCCCCUUCCACCUCCUAUUUGCAUAUGAGUGUCUUCAAUUGGUAGGACUACACAGGAAACCAACAGUGGGUUCUGGAAAAUGACUCUCCAGCUCCCUUAGAUACCAAGCAGAAUAUAGAAGUGCCAGUGUGAGACUGGGCAUCAACAGAGAAGGUAUUUGCUGCUACUAUAACUAGUAUUGAGUUUCCCCUUUUAUUCUUCCUCGUCCUAUGGACCUUCCAUAAGGGGUCCACGAGAUGCUGAGAAACACUACACCAUUCUGAUAAAUGGAGCAUGAAACUGGACUAAGUCAAGAGCUAUGGGAUGCAGAACCUCUCCUCCUCUGGAUGGCAUCAAGUGCAGAGGUUACACCUUGGGCUGCCUCCUUUGUAUUGUUACCAUGAGGAAAAACAGCCUGAAGAUGAAACUGACAGGGACAGAACAACUGGACUGAGAGAAUGCCAGAAGCCUUAUGGAAGCACACUUCGAGGCUGCCUUUUCUCCAAAGUUCUCAAUUAUAGAAAUUUUUUGUACACUUUGGACUAACUGUGCCUUCUACGUGGAAUCCUACUAUGGUCUAAAUGUUUGUGUCCCUGCAAGAUUCAAGUUGAAAUCCUAAAUUCCCAAAGGUGAAGGUACUAGUAGAUGGAGACUUUGGGAGAAGAUGGAGUCAUGAGGGUAAAGCCCUCCUUAAUGGGAUUAGUGCUCUGGUAAAAGAUGCCCCGCAGAACUCCCCAGCCCUUCUGUUUGUGAGGAUGCAAGGAGAGAUCUGCAACUUGGAAGAGAGCUCACCCAACCAUGCUGGCAUUCUGAUUUCACUUUAGAGCCCUCAGAACUGAGAGUACGUUCCAAGCAUGAAAGAAAUAGAAGAAAUUACAGAGGAAAAAGCCAAUAUUUGAUGCCCUCAAAAUGGCAAGCUUCUGUACAACAAAAAGACCUUAAAUUAAAUGGGGAAUGAAAAAC